AUGGUUGGUUCUUCCUCUACUCCAGACCCAUGGCUGAACCCCUUCCCCACCGGCAAGGGCUGGGUUGCCAUGCUUUUUGGGUCGGCUCGCGGCGAUGAAGACCUCUUCCUCGACUACAUGAAGAUUGCCAUGAGAUAUAGCAGCGCAGAAGGGCUCGUGGAUGCAUUAGAAGAGGUGAGGAAGAAGGCGACGACUGAGGAGAAGCAGCGCAUGGACCAGCGCUAUGCAACCCCAGGUAAGGGUAUCAUGCCCAUCGACAUGUUGCUGUGGGCAAUGAAGGAGGCAGACUCCAGCGAUGCUGGGCAGAGGGAACGGUGGGCAGCCCACCGCUAUAUCCCUCCAGCACAAGCUACAGCUCCAACUACUAUGGGCAACGACGACGAGGACCUGCAGAUCAUCGCCCCACCAGCACUGCUGGCUCGCCGACGUCCUCCUCCCAUCAUCGUCAUCGAUGGAGAUGAAGAGGAGGUGCCAAAGCUGCCACCUACCACUCAAGUCAAGCAAGAGGUGCGACGGUCAGGUCGCAUAGCAGGGCAGGGGCCUAACAAUCUGAAACUGUAA
rnacentral:rRNA from 1 species